rnacentral:lncRNA from 1 species
GAUAUUGCACUGUUUCCUUGAGAUUCUUGAAUUGUGAUUGUCUAUGCACUCUGGCUUGGUUAAUGUGAAUUCUAUUUUUGCACUUGCAAUUGGGUAUACGCUUAGUUGCCCAGUUGGUGUUACAUCUUCGCUUAGUCGAUGUAACUGCAUGGUGUAAAUUAGAUUUGACAUUAACAUUGCGUCCGCUUAGUUCGCUUUUAUGAAACCCGGGUUAACCUUCGCUUAGUCGGUUAACUCUGUUGGAUUAGAGGUCUGAGUAGCAACUUUAUUUAGAUAAUCUGUGAUGGGAAACAUUGUAAUUAAGUUAAUGACCAACCGUUUUCAUUAUGUGUUGAAACCGUUUUCUUUAGAUCUAUGUUUACAUCUUUGUUUGUAUUUGUGUCUUUAUUGAGUUCUUUAAUUUUUGCAAAACCUUACCAACCCCCCCUUUUC